GGCCGCCUGGCGAAAUGGCAUCGCGUCUGACUACGAAUAGUUAUCAGGAGAUUGCAGGUUCGACCCCUGCGGUGGUCA